rnacentral:rRNA from 1 species
UACGUAGGGGGCAAGCGUUGUCCGGAAUUAUUGGGCGUAAAGAGCGCGUAGGCGGUCCGGUAAGUCGGUUGUGAAAGUCGGGGGCUCAACCCUCGGAUGCCGAUCGAUACUGCCGGGCUAGAGUCCGGAAGAGGCGAGUGGAAUUCCUGGUGUAGCGGUGAAAUGCGCAGAUAUCAGGAAGAACACCAAUGGCGAAAGCAGCUCUCUGGGACGGUACUGACGCUGAGACGCGAAAGCGUGGGGAGCGAACAGG